rnacentral:rRNA from 1 species
AUUGAACGCUGGCGGCAGGCUUAACACAUGCAAGUCGCACGAGUGGCGGACGGGUGAGUCAUGCUUGGGGAUCCAGCAUAUGGAGGGGGAUAACUACGGGAAACUGUAGCUAAUACCGCGUACCAUAGGAUGAGCCCAAGUGGGAUGAGGUAGUUGGUGAGGUAAAGGCUCACCAAGCCGACGAUCUCUAGCUGGUCUGAGAGGAUGACCAGCCACACUGGGACUGGGACACGGCCCAGACUCCUACGGGAGGGAGCAGUGGGUAAGAUUGCGCAAUGGGGGCAACCUGACGCAGCCAUGCCGCGUGAAUGAAGAAGGCCUUGGGGUUGUAAAGUUCUUUCGGUAGCGAGGCGUUAACGACAGAAGAAGCACCGGCUAACUCCGUGCCAGCCGCCGCGGUAAUAC